CCGCUGUCCAGUUUUACUGGGUUACAUGCUCAUACCAGUUAUUAUACCGCAUAACAAUUACGAAACACAACUUCAUAUCAGUGAAAAAAAUAAUAGCUUCUUUUGCAUAUUUAUUUACAUUUAGCUGGCCUCUUUUCUCCAAACUCACUCAUGCAGGUUAGCCUGUGUACAAUGAUUUACCCAUUUGUAUAGCUGGGUGUUUUUCAUUGGAGCCCAUCGGGGUAAAUACCUUGUUCAGGGGCUUUACAGCUGCUGCUGGCAUUCAGAGCCGGGUCCUGCGAGCGUAAGGCACCUGCUCUAACCACUGCGCCCCCUGCAGUCGCCCGUGUCGACAACUAGACAUCUUCGCUGCUCGCCUUCCAGAGGGCUUAGAGGUCAUCGUGAGUCUCACGUGACGCUUACCGCGGUCGAACUGAACGGUUACGCAAGUAACACUUAAAACAAACAAGCGACGUGCCAUAUGUGACACUCCACACGCUCGUUUGUCUUUUAAUCCUCGAGGGAUAAAAACAGCAGCAGCCGGGGCUGUUCUGCACUCGUGCGAAAAAGAGACCUUCCGCGUAGAUCAGCGGCACAAGGAGAUAAUCCUCCCGCCCCUUCGGGUUUGACACGUUUCCGUACGACGAGGCCUGGCUUUCCCGCGGCAAACGGCACGGCCGGCGGCCCUAGGUAUCGGACCCUCAAAAGCAUACUCAUUGUCAGUAAAUGAGUAUACACACUAAAAAUCCUUUGGAAUGUCUGUAUAUAACAGUGAAAAGUAGUAAUGGGAUCGGAGAAGACCUAGCGUGCCCUGCCACCCC
rnacentral:lncRNA from 1 species